rnacentral:rRNA from 1 species
UACGAAGGGGGCUAGCGUUGCUCGGAAUGACUGGGCGUAAAGGGCGCGUAGGCGGUUUGGACAGUCAGGCGUGAAAUUCCCGGGCUUAACCUGGGGGCUGCGCUUGAUACAUCCAGGCUUGAGUGGGGAAGAGGGUCGUGGAAUUCCCAGUGUAGAGGUGAAAUUCGUAGAUAUUGGGAAGAACACCGGUGGCGAAGGCGGCGACCUGGUCCUUUACUGACGCUGAGACGCGAAAGCGUGGGGAGCGAACAGG